GAUGAACGCUUUCUUCUUUCCUAAUACAUGCAAGUCGAGCGAACAGACGAGGAGCUUGCUCCUCUGACGUUAGCGGCGGACGGGUGAGUAACACGUGGAUAACCUACCUAUAAGACUGGGAUAACUUCGGGAAACCGGAGCUAAUACCGGAUAAUAUAUUGAACCGCAUGGUUCAAUAGUGAAAGACGGUUUUGCUGUCACUUAUAGAUGGAUCCGCGCCGCAUUAGCUAGUUGGUAAGGUAACGGCUUACCAAGGCAACGAUGCGUAGCCGACCUGAGAGGGUGAUAGGCCACACUGGAACUGAGACACGGUCCAGACUCCUACGGGAGGCAGCAGUAGGGAAUCUUCCGCAAUGGGCGAAAGCUUGACGGAGCAACGCCGCGUGAGUGAUGAAGGUCUUCGGAUCGUAAAACUCUGUUAUUAGGGAAGAACAAAUGUGUAAGUAACUAUGCACGUCUUGACGGUACCUAAUCAGAAAGCCAAGGCUAAAUACGGG
rnacentral:rRNA from 1 species